rnacentral:lncRNA from 1 species
CUGAAACAAUCAAUAACCGGGAAAAUUAAUGUCUUAUCUAAGUGAAUUGACAAUACAUGAUUCUUUAGUGUCAACCUAUUAGAAUGUCCCCCUUUUAUAUCUUAGUGUCACUCUAUUAGAAUGUCCCCCUUUCUUGUUUUUUCUGUCAACCUAUUAGAAUGUCCACGUUUCUAGCUUAUCUUAAGGUCAUCCUAAAAGAAUGUCCCCCUUUCUUGUUUUAGUGUCACCCUAUUAUAAUUUCCCCCUUUCUUGUUUUAGUGUUACCCUAUUAGAAUUUAAUUUCCAAAUUUCUUAUUUAAGCGUCACCCUAUUAGAAUGUCCCCCUUUCUUAUUUUUCUGUCAACCUAUUACAGUAGACUAUCCCCAAUUUUUAUGGUGGUGUCAAUUACCUUUAAAUUAUAUCCCAUGAAGCCCUUUGUGAAAGAGUUUUGAAAAAAUGAAAUCAUUUGACCUUCUUGUAUCCGUUAUUUGUAUCUUUGUUGCCAUAAACAAAGAUUUUUCCUGAAAAUGGCAUGUCUUAUUGCAUGCAGAUGAUUUUUUUCUAAUAAAAGCAAAUCAAAACUAGUAAGUAAGUAAGUAAUUAUUAAUUAUUAUUAU